UACGAAGGGGGCAAGCGUUGUUCGGAAUUACUGGGCGUAAAGGGCGCGUAGGCGGCUUAUCAAGUCAGGCGUGGAAUUCCCGGGCUCAACCUGGGGGCUGCGCUUGAUACUGAUUGGCUUGAAUGCGGGAGAGGAUAGUGGAAUUCCCAGUGUAGAGGUGAAAUUCGUAGAUAUUGGGAAGAACACCGGUGGCGAAGGCGGCUAUCUGGCCCGUAAUUGACGCUGAGGCGCGAAAGCGUGGGGAGCAAACAGG
rnacentral:rRNA from 1 species